rnacentral:rRNA from 1 species
UAUNCCACAAUGGGGGAAACCCUGAAGCAGCNACGCCCCGUGAGUGAAGAAGUAUUUCGGUGUGUAAAGCUCUAUCAGCAGGGAAGAAAAUGACGGUACCUGAUUAAGAAGCCCCGGCUAACUACGUGCCAGCAGCCGCGGUAAUACGUAGGGGGCAAGCGUUAUCCGGAUUUACUGGGUGUAAAGGGAGCGUAGACGGCCAGACAAGUCAGAAGUGAAAGCCCAGGGCUCAACCCUGGGACUGCUUUUGAAACUGCCGGGCUGGAGUGCAGGAGAGGUAAACGGAAUUCCUAGUGUAGCGGUGAAAUGCGUAGAUAUUAGGAGGAACACCAGUGGCGAAGGCGGCUUACUGGACUGUAACUGACGUUGAGGCUCGAAAGCGUGGGGAGCAAACAGG